rnacentral:rRNA from 1 species
AAACCUGCCGUAUACUGGGGGAUAACACUUAGAAAUAGGUGCUAAUACCGCAUAAGCGCACAGCUCGCAUGAGACGGUGUGAAAAACUCCGGUGGUAUACGAUGGAUCCGCGUCUGAUUAGCUUGUUGGCGGGGUAACAGCCCACCAAGGCGACGAUCAGUAGCCGGCCUGAGAGGGUGAACGGCCACAUUGGGACUGAGACACGGCCCAAACUCCUACGGGAGGCAGCAG